UUGCCUUAAACUAAUGAGUAAGGAAAAUAACGAUCUGGGUGACGCCAGAUCUUCGCACAGUUUAUGCGUAUGAAUUUCUGAAGGGAAGAGGUCGCCCUUGGAUAGCUCGCUUACUUUCGCGGGUAAUCCUUGUGGAAGCGAUCUCCGCC